rnacentral:misc_RNA from 1 species
UUUAUUCCUAUCGGUAAUUAUGAACGUCGUAAUCCGUGAUGUAGAUUACAGUCUCGUGCAAAGAGAAACCGGUUUCCUCCUCAACGACUGGCAGACAAUCCCAUCCCACGUGGAAGGCCAUCGAUGAAGCGGGGAUAAGUUACAACGGUACUUUCACACGACGCUUUUUACUACUCAAAUAAACUCACUGUAGACUGUUACUAUUGAGUUAACUCUAGUCUCGUUUAAAUCAAAAUUACUAUGUCAGACGAAAAGAGGCACGAUAAGGAGAAUGAAAAGGGAGCUCGAUACAUUAUAGGAAGACAAAUCAUGAAUUUAAAAAUGAAGAUAGUCCUAAAAAUUAUUCUAUCUUCUAUAGCAGGCCCGUUGAUCCUUUACGGUAUAUCUUUUAUUUAUCAGUCAUACUCGAGGCAUCUAUUUGAAAGACCAGUUACAAUAAACGAGGAUCGACCCAAAUUUUGGAUCUAUGCCAAGAGUAACGACACCGGUUAUUUGAAGCAUGUAUACGCGGUGCUCCAUCGACUCGGUUUCCAAGAGAGCAAUAACAAGUCCGAUUGGGAUCUAUUGUGGGCCCAUGAUUAUCCAUUUCGCGUGCUGUCCGUGAGUUUAGAUAAAUUGCAAAAGCACCAACGAGUCAAUCAUUUUCCCGGUUGCGGCUACAUCACAAAUAAAGUGGAUCUGUCGACAUCGCGUGGCGGACGAUAUAUACCGGCGGCAUUCAAGAUACCCGAGGAUCAGCAAGCCUUUCUCGAUUAUGCCAAGUCACAUCCCGCGAAGCUGUUCGUACAGAAAUCGAACGAUCACCGGGGCAUUCGCAUUCGCGACAAUGAUGACGCAAACUUCAUCGAUGGCACGUUCAUUCAAGAGUUCAUCGAACGACCGUUCCUCGUGGAUGGCUACAAGUUCGAUAUUGGAAUGUAUGUUGUCAUUACGUCCGUAGAUCCGCUACGAUUAUACGUCUAUAAGGGCGAUGUGUUGUUUCGCUUCUGUCCAGUGAAAUAUUAUCCUUUCGAUCCAGAAAUCCUAGACAAGUACGUGGUUGGCGACGAUUAUCUACCGAUUUGGAGUGUGCCAUCCUUGAAGAAAUAUUACACAGAACUCGGAUUCUCGAUGAAAGAUUCGUUCGAUGCGUAUAUCAAAGAGCGUGGAAAGAAUCCGACUGAUAUGUGGGAACGAGUGUAUGACGCUAUCCGGGAAGUCGUCUUGAUGAAGGAGAUGCAAAUCAGAGAAGUCUCCAAACGUUUUGGCAAUGGCAGAAAUUUCUUCGAACUCGUGAGAUUCGAUCUGGCUCUUGACGCAGAUCUAAAUGUUUACAUGAUGGAGGCGAACAUGUCGCCGAAUCUAUCUUCCGCACAUUAUCCACCGAAUCAACUGCUCUAUGAGCAAGUCAUAUUCAAUAUGUUUGCGCUGGUCGGUAUCGGCAAGAGGACUAAAAGAGAAUCCUUGAAGAUUAGGCAAGUAAAGCGUAUCAAGAUUUAAAUGCGAGCACAGAAGAGUUUUGUGUCUCGAAAUUGGUUGCCUAAAAAUAUAGAAAAUAAAGCGGAGGAAGAAAUGGAGGUAGCAAACAAAAACAUCGUGGUGCUACCAGAGCUCUGUAAGGAAUGUGAAGAUUGUUUUCGCAUAGA